UCUCUAGCCCCCCUUUUUUUAAUCUCAGAGAGAAAGUGGGGAAAUGGGUCUACUUAUUUGGGUCCCCAAAGGAGCCUCCAGAAAUGUCACUAGAUUCUACCUAGCCAGGGACGGUUUCUUAAGGUAGGUACAUGCUGUCACUUAAAAUCAGCAUGUACUGGCUUCUCUGUGUGACAACCCAGGAAAGAAAGGUUGAAAGUCCAUUUUUUUUUUUUUUCUCACCCUGGCAAAUGAGGCCAAGCUGUGGAAGGGAGGGGCUGGGGGCAGGAAGGAUUUUUUUUUUUUUUUCAGGCUGCCUGUCAUUCUCGCACUUUCUGUGAGAGCCUAGCUUGGGCAGAAAUAAAAAUGCCACUCUGAAUUUAAAUAAUCUGUCCUUCUGGGAAAGUCUUCGCGGCGACAGGGCUGUUAACAUGGAAAGUAAAAAGUAAACAAUGUAUUUCAGCAAUCAGUGUUCUGAGUGGGCUGCGGGACUCAGACAGCCUGCGGACAACUCCUGGGAGGAAGGGCCCUCUUAUGAUCUGCCAGGCGAGAGGAACAUGGAUUGACAGAACUUCUGCAGGCGCAUGCGGUCGGGAAAAAUCUUAUGGGAGUAAGGAUUGCAAGGACCAAGCUUCAGUGAGGCGGUGCAUGAAGCAGAAGGAAUCGCUUUAUGUGUGGAAGUCUACGGGCAGAACAGAAUGGGACCAGAGAGGAUCGUUUGAAUUGGCCCAUCCAGAGCCGGAAUUGCGUUUCAGCGAUGGAGAAUAAUACUUAAAUUUCACGCCUGACCUUGGAGAUAAUGUCACAGCUGAAGUGAGACUUUGAAACCUGCUUGCUCAUAACCUUUUGUCAAUAAGUUGGAAAUGAAAGACUCUACUUCCCUGUGAUAUCCUCAACAGUCAAAAUCACCUGGCUUAUCAAUGGACCAGCAUGGCUUUCCCCAUAAGGUGAAGAAAAGCAGACACAAUGUUUGUUUGUUUGUUUGUUUUUUUUUUUUAAAUGGUUACAACCCAGGCAGCUCUUGCUGGGGUCAUUUCAGAAAGAGAGAAUUAAGGGAGAGAAAAGGGGAGGAUGUAGAGGCAGGAGGACCUGGGAACGACUUUUGAGGAGUUAAUUUCUGAACUUGGCACAAUAGGCUUCCCAUCCGCUUAUCUGGGAGGGAAGGUUGGGAUGAAGUGGAUCUUCACUAAAACUGUUGCUAGUCACCUCGUGACAAGAACCUGAGGUGGAAGAGCUCAGAGUUCCGAUGAGCAGGUCUCUUUUCAGCUCAGGUCACUUUCCCUCUCUGGGUGUUUACACUCCCCUCAC
rnacentral:lncRNA from 1 species